rnacentral:lncRNA from 1 species
GGAUGCUGAGAAUCGGCAGGAAAUGGCAUUUCCGUGCUUCAAAUUUCAAAAAUUUUCUAGGGGAGUAUGCCCCCACACAUGUGACCAUUGCUAUCUUCCUCUAAUAAGUAAUUAUAAAUUAUGGUAAUUUUUUUUAACUUUUUGUGCGUUUAUUCCUUUAUUCAUUUCAAAUACGAGUAUAGUUAGCAUAAAUUUGGAUGCUCAGAAUGCAGGAAAUGACCUUUCCGGGAUUCAAAUGUCAAGAAUUUUCUGGGGGAGUACUCCCUCAGACCCCCCUCCCCAUUCGUGUGGGGUAUUUUGCCCACACAUGUGGCCUUCAGCCAUUGCUAUCCCCCUCUAAUAUAUCAUUUCACAGAAAGGUCACUUUUCAAAAAAUGCCCCCCCCCCCACGGGAAAAUCCUUAAAAAAGGCCCUGCCACGUACUUGAGCUAUAGUACAAAUUUAAGACUCGAGGGAAACUCGAGGUGCACUUAGUCUUUAGAACGAAGUACAUAAUGUACAGGUUUCCAAAAGGAAUUCAUUCAGUAACCUGAAACUAGUAGUUAGGUACACAAACACUAUGACCGGCUAAUAAUAAUAAUAAUAAUAAUAAUAAUAAUAAUAAUAAUAAUAAUAAUAAUAAU